UACGUAGGGUGCAAGCGUUGUCCGGAAUUAUUGGGCGUAAAGAGCUCGUAGGCGGUCUGUCGCGUCGGCUGUGAAAACCCGGGGCUCAACCCCGGGCCUGCAGUCGAUACGGGCAGACUAGAGUGCGGUAGGGGAGACUGGAAUUCCUGGUGUAGCGGUGAAAUGCGCAGAUAUCAGGAGGAACACCGGUGGCGAAGGCGGGUCUCUGGGCCUGUACUGACGCUGAGGUGCGAAAGCGUGGGGAGCAAACAGG
rnacentral:rRNA from 1 species